AACGAACGCUGGCGGCAGGCUUAACACAUGCAAGUCGAACGCCCCGCAAGGGGAGUGGCAGACGGGUGAGUAACGCGUGGGAAUCUACCCAAUUCUACGGAAUAACCCAGGGAAACUUGGACUAAUACCGUAUACGCCCUACGGGGGAAAGAUUUAUCGGAAUUGGAUGAGCCCGCGUAAGAUUAGCUAGUUGGUGGGGUAAUGGCCUACCAAGGCGACGAUCUUUAGCUGGCCUGAGAGGAUGAUCAGCCACACUGGGACUGAGACACGGCCCAGACUCCUACGGGAGGCAGCAGUGGGGAAUAUUGGACAAUGGGCGCAAGCCUGAUCCAGCCAUGCCGCGUGAGUGAUGAAGGCCUUAGGGUUGUAAAGCUCUUUCAGUGGGGAAGAUAAUGACGGUACCCACAGAAGAAGCCCCGGCUAACUUCGUGCCAGCCGCCGCGGUAAUAC
rnacentral:rRNA from 1 species